UACGUAGGGCGCAAGCGUUGUCCGGAAUUAUUGGGCGUAAAGAGCUCGUAGGCGGUUUGUCGCGUCUGCUGUGAAAACCUAAGGCUCAACCUUGGGCUUGCAGUGGGUACGGGCAGACUAGAGUGCGGUAGGGGUGACUGGAAUUCCUGGUGUAGCGGUGGAAUGCGCAGAUAUCAGGAGGAACACCGAUGGCGAAGGCAGGUCACUGGGCCGCAACUGACGCUGAG
rnacentral:rRNA from 1 species